AAAGUAGUAACACAAUCAUCUCUCUCUUUCAUUUGCUUGUAGCCCUUGCCGCACGCCAGAUUCCUGUACCCUUGCCUCAUUCCUUCGAUUCCAUCCACUUGCUGUUUUGAUUUCUCCUCUUCGAGCAAGGUCAGCGUUUCAUCUUCGAUUCCAUCGGUAUCAACACAAGAGAGACACGCGCAUAGCUCUACCACUAUCAGCUUGGCCUUGCCAAAGUGGAGCUUGAACCUGGAUUCCUCAGUCCUUCUAAUCCCUCUAACUGAGGUUAGGGUUUUCGUUUGCUUUCCUCCUUCUCAUCUUUUUCUAUAAAUAUGAUUCAUUCGUGGAUCCUCUUUGUGAUUAUUAUUAGUGGAUUUGAUGUGAAUUUCACUGUUGUGCUUCCUUGUGUGAGUUACUGAUUUGAGAUUUUGAGAUCUUAAGUGUGUUUUGUUGUUCAUUUAAGGGACUUUUCACUCUGC
rnacentral:misc_RNA from 1 species